rnacentral:rRNA from 1 species
GAUGAACGCUGGCGGCGUGCCUAAUACAUGCAAGUCGAGCGAACAGAUAAGGAGCUUGCUCCUUUGACGUUAGCGGCGGACGGGUGAGUAACACGUGGGUAACCUACCUAUAAGACUGGAAUAACUCCGGGAAACCGGGGCUAAUGCCGGAUAACAUUUAGAACCGCAUGGUUCUAAAGUGAAAGAUGGUUUUGCUAUCACUUAUAGAUGGACCCGCGCCGUAUUAGCUAGUUGGUAAGGUAACGGCUUACCAAGGCAACGAUACGUAGCCGACCUGAGAGGGUGAUCGGCCACACUGGAACUGAGACACGGUCCAGACUCCUACGGGAGGCAGCAGUAGGGAAUCUUCCGCAAUGGGCGAAAGUCUGACGGAGCAACGCCGCGUGAGUGAUGAAGGUCUUCGGAUCGUAAAACUCUGUUAUUAGGGAAGAACAAAUGUGUAAGUAACUGUGCACGUCUUGACGGUACCUAAUCAGAAAGCCACGGCUAACUACGUG